AUUGAACGCUGGCGGCAUGCUUUACACAUGCAAGUCGAACGGUAACAGGCCGCAAGGUGCUGACGAGUGGCGAACGGGUGAGUAAUGCAUCGGAACGUGCCCAGUCGUGGGGGAUAACGCAGCGAAAGCUGCGCUAAUACCGCAUACGAUCUAUGGAUGAAAGCGGGGGACCGUAAGGCCUCGCGCGAUUGGAGCGGCCGAUGUCAGAUUAGGUAGUUGGUGGGGUAAAGGCUCACCAAGCCGACGAUCUGUAGCUGGUCUGAGAGGACGACCGGCCACACUGGGACUGGGACCCGGCCCAGACUCCUACGGGAGGCCGCAGUGGGGAAUUUUGGCCAAUGGGCGCAAGCCUGAUCCAGCAAUGCCGCGUGCAGGAAGAAGGCCUUCGGGUUGUAAACUGCUUUUGUACGGAACGAAAAGGCUCUGGUUAAUACCUGGGGCUCAUGACGGUACCGUAAGAAUAAGCACCGGCUAACUACGUGCCAGCAGCCGCCGUAA
rnacentral:rRNA from 1 species